rnacentral:lncRNA from 1 species
GGAACCAAAAUGAGGUUGAGUAGAUAAAGCAGACUUGCAGAGUCUGUUCUACCUUUUCAAAAUAAUCAAUUUCACUAUGCAACUAAAAAUGUGACCGUAGAGUUUCACUUCAAAACCACCAAAAAAAGAAGGAAGAAAUAUAAUAUGGUAAUGGAACCUCUCUUCAUAAAGGAAUACAGAUUUCAUACUUUGAUUUCCAUGAUCACAUCAGGAUUUCAAGAGUGAAGCUAAAGAGAGUUUUCAGGUCCUUCAAAAGCUCCAUGCUGAUGAAAAAAUGACCGCUUGUUACAAUGGAUUAAGGUUAAUAAUAAGAAAAAUCGAUAACAGGUUUCAGACUGUUCAAAACAAAACAAAACAAAAAAAACCAGGUCUGAGACCACACCAACAAACCUGAUUUAAAGAAGAGUCAAUUAGCUUCGAACCAUUCUCUACCUUCAAUAUGUUGUUACACACAUCUUUUCUGCAACGAAUUUCAGAAAUACAAAAAGUUAUCAAUUGUGUUUUUCAAAAUAGAAUGAAAAAAAUGAUGAGAGAUAUCAGGUAUGUGAAUAGAUAGAAUCACUGCAAAUGCUAAGACUAUAGUCGCCACAUAAAAUAAAAUAUUCUUCUCGAAUAUUGAUAAAUAACAAAUUGCAGUCAAAAUUGAUAACUUGAUAUAUCCCAGACAAAAGAAAACCCUUUCUAGUUAAAAAAAAACCCUCGAUAUAAAUAAAACAAAAAGUAAGCAUGACAAUCACCACUACGAAAACCAACAUUGAUGCCUUAAAAUAC